CUCUCUCCGGCUCUGCCAUGGUAAGAUGUGACUGCUUCCCCUUCACCGUCUGCCAUAAUUAGAUGGGGUCUUGCAUAUUUCCCAGGCUGGCCACAAAUUCCUGGCAUCAAGUGAUCGUCUCGCCUCAGCCUUCCAAAUAGCUGGGAUUACAGGUAUAUACACCUAGCAGUGGAAUUACUGGAUGAUAUGGUAUGUCUGUUUUUAGGUUUUUUUUUUUUGGUGGAGGGGAAGCUUCAUAUUGUUCUCCAUAAUGGCUAUACUAAUUUACAUUUCCACCAGUUGUGUCCAAGUGUUCCUCUCUCUCCACAUGCUCUCCAGCAUCUGUUUUUGCCUAUCUUUUUGAUAUAAGCCAUUUUGACUGGGGUCAGAUGAUAUCUUACUGUGGUUUUGAUUUGCGUUUCUCUAAUAAUUAGCGAUGCUCAACUUUUUUUUGUAUAGCUGUUGGCCACUUAUAUGUCUUCUUUUGAGAAAUGUAUGUUAAGGUUUUAGCCCAUUUUUAAAUCAGAUGAUGAUGAUGAUGAUUAUUUUGCUAUUGAAUUGUUUGCGCUCCCUCUAUAUUCUGGUUAUUAAUCUCUUGUCAGAUAUAUAGUUUGAAACUAUUUUCUCCCAUUCUGUGUGUUGCCUCUUUACUUUGUUCAUUGUUUAUUUUGCUGUGCAAAAAUUUACUACAAAACUAUAGUAACCAAAACUACACUACUGGCAUAAAAACAAACUAAUAGAUUAGUGGAAGAUAAUAGAGAACCCUGAUAUAAAUUCAUGCAUUUACAACCAAUUCAUCUUGGCAAAGCUGUCAAGAACAUACAAUGGGGGAAAGGACAGUCUUUUCAAUAAACAGUUCUGGGAAAACGGGUUAACUACAUGCAGAAGAGUAAAAGACCCCUAUCUCUCAUCUACACAAAAAUUUAAUCAAAAUGGGUUAAAGACUUAAAUCUAAGACCUAAAAUGAUGAAACUACGGAAGGAAACAUUGGGAAAAUGUUCCAGGACAUUGGCCUGGGCAAAGUUUUUUGGGUAAAACCUCAAAAACAGGCAAUCAAAACAAAAAUAGACAAUUGAGAUUACAUUAUCAUUUGGUAUAUGCACGCAUUGUGGAAUAGAUAAACCAAACUAACACAUGUGUUACAUCACAUACCAAUUUUUUUUAUAGUGAGAAAACUUAAAGUCUACCCUCUUAGCAAUUUUCAAGCAUAUAAUAGAUUAACUAUACCUACUAUAAUGUAUGCUAGAUCUCUUGAACUUAUUUCUCCUGUUCAGUUGAAAUUUUGCAUCCUUUGACUAACAUUUCCCCAAUACCCCUUCCCCUGGCCUCUAGUAACCACCAUUUUACUCUGUUUCUGUGAAUUUGACUUUUUAGAUUCCAAAUGUAAGUGAGAUAAUGCAGUAUUUUUCUUCCUGUGUCUGGCUUAUUUCACUUACCCUAAUGUCCAUCAGUUUUACCCAUGUUGUGGCAAAUGUUAGAAUCUCUUUUUUAAGGUCAAAUAAUAUUUUACUUACACACACAUGCACGCACACACACAUAUAGUUUCAUUCAUUUAUCUGUCAACACACACUUAGGCUGUUUCCCUAUCUCAGUUGUUGUGAUUUGCCGCAAAGGACAUGAUAGUGCAGAUAUAUUUACAACAUGGGGAUUCCAUUUUCUUUGUAUAUAUAUCUAGAAGUGAGAUUAUUGAGUCAUAUGAUAGUUCUAUAUUUCUUUAGAAACCUCCAUAAUGUUUUCUAUAAAACCCGCAUCAAUCUGUGUUCCCACCAGCAGUAUACAAGUGUUCCCUUUUCUCUACAGCCUUGCCAACAUUUGUUAUCUCUUGUCUUUUUGAUAAUAGCCAUCCUAAUAGGUAUGAAGUGAUACAUCAUUGUGGUUUUAAUUUGCAUUUAUCUGAUUAAUGAUGCUGAGCAAUUUUUCGCAUGCAAUUUUGCUGUUUUUAUGUUUUAUUUGAAGAAAUAUAUACUUAGGUCCUUCCUCUUUAAAAAAAAAUGGGUGAAUUUUCUGCAAUUGUGUUGUGUGAGUUACCCAUAUAUUUUGAGUAUUUUUUCUCUUAUCAGAUAAAUGGUUUGCAAUAUUUUCUCCCAAUCAGGCUGCGUUUUCUUUUUGUUAAUUGUUUCCUUUACUGUGAGGAAGACUUUUAGUUUGACAUAGCCCCACUUACUUGUUUUUGCCUUUGUAGCCUGAGCCUGAGCUUUUGGAGUGAUAUCCAAAUACCACAGGCAACCAACGUCAGGAAGCUUUUCCCCUGUGUUUUCUUCUAGGAGUUUUAUGAUUUUAGGUCUUAUUGUUUGGUCUUUUAUCCAUUUUGAGUUGACUUUUGUGCAUGAUGUAAUGAUCCAGUUUUAUUCUUUUCCGUGUGGAAAUCUAGUUUUCCCAGCAUCAUUUAUUCAACAGACUAUCCUUUCACCACCAUGUCUUCUUGGUGCCCUUGUCAACAUUCUGUUGACCCUGUAUGUUUGGAUUUAUUUCUGGGCUGUAGUAAGGUUUGAAAUUAAAAGGUGUGAGUCUUCUUACUUGGUUUUUCAUUAUCAAAAUUAUUUUGUCUAUUUGAGAUCCCUUGCAAUUCCAAUAUGUUGGAAAAGACUUUUCCAUUUCUGACCCAAAUGGUCAUUGGGAUUUUGAGAGGAAUUCUAUUAAACCUAUAUGUUGCUUUGGGUAAUAUUGCCAUUGUAGCAAUUUUAAGUCUUACAACCUGUGGACUUUCGAUUUCUUUCCAUUUAUUUAGGUUUUUAAAAAUUUAUCUCAGCAAUGUUUUACAGUUUUUGUUGUACAGGUUUUGCACCUCCUUGGUUACAUCUAUUCCCC
rnacentral:lncRNA from 1 species